GAAAGAAAAAUAAUAAAACUGAUUUUUUCAAUAUAAAUAAAUGAUAUCUAUCUGUAUACGAUGCACACAUAAUUUCUUUUUUGGGGUGUGGUGAUGGGAAAAUCCCCUUUUGCAAAAUACAAAUACCUCACGCAUAAUGAGAGGAUUCAUUCAUUACUAAUAUGUUUCUUUUCUCAAAAUUGUUUUCACAUUUCAGGACUUCUUGAACUUAUUUUUGUUCAGUGAAAACGAAAUACGUUUUCAUCUUUUCUACAAAAUAAAAAGAGAUUUAGAAACUAUCCAUGUUUACAGAAGUGUGCAAUCUUGUGUAGGUGGUGGAGUUGAAUCUAAUCAAUAGUAGGUCUAUACUUGUUAGAAAGAUUCUGAAAUUUCAUUUUCGAACUAGAUUAGGACAAACAUAUCUAACUUGAUAUGAUUCUUGAUGAAUAUAGUUUUAAAAGGUUCUUAAACUACCUUUUCUAUCUUAAGAUGUAAACUUGCUAAGGUAGCUCAUUGUGUUUUGAAGAAUGUAGUCCAUACAUCAAGUUUAGAUUCUUGAACUACCUUCUUCUAAGAUGUAUACUUACUAUGAUAGUUCAUUGUGUUUCGAAGAAUGUAGUCCAUAUAGCAACUAAAGAUUCAACAACUUUCUUAACCUUAAGACACACAAGCUAAGAUAAAUGAUAAGAAUAGGUUCUUGAACUACCUUGUUUGUCCAAAGAUGUAAACUUGCCAAGAUAACUCAUUGUAGUCCAUAUAUCAAGUUUAGAUUCAACAAGUUUCUUGAUCUUAAGACACACAAACUAAGAUAAAUGAUAAGAAUAGCCUGUCCACAAACUGAAACACUUCAUAUAUGGGAAAAGAACUCAUUGCAAAAACAGGAAUUAGAUAUACAACAUCAAAAGAUCGAUGAUUACGAUUAAUUUAUUAUAGAAAAAGGUUCUUAAACUACCUUGUCUAUCGUAAGAUGUAAACUUGCUAAAGUAGCUCAUUGUGUUUCGAAGGAUGUAGUUCAUACAUCAAGUUUAGGUUCUUAAACUACCUUGUCUAUCGUAAGAUGUAAACUUGCUAAGUUACCUCAUUGUGUUUCGAAGAAUGUAAUCCAUACAUUAAGUUUAGAAUUUCAUUCGUUUUUAUACAUUCACAAGGAUUGAUCAAUACCCUGAAGAAUUUAUGGUCUUCAGGGAAUCGUCAAUGGAUAAAGUAUAUACACAAUAAUAUUGAUAUUAUAUUUACAGGAAGAUUGAAUAAAAAUAAAAUAAAUUAUUACAUAAUAA